UACGGAGGGGGCUAGCGUUGUUCGGAAUUACUGGGCGUAAAGCGCACGUAGGCGGCUUUGUAAGUUAGAGGUGAAAGCCCGGGGCUCAACUCCGGAAUUGCCUUUUAAGACUGCAUCGCUAGAAUUGUGGAGAGGUAAGUGGAAUUCCGAGUGUAGAGGUGAAAUUCGUAGAUAUUCGGAAGAACACCAGUGGCGAAGGCGACUUACUGGACACAUAUUGACGCUG
rnacentral:rRNA from 1 species